rnacentral:rRNA from 1 species
CAGCAGCCACGGGAAUACGUAGGGUGCGAGCGUUAAUCGGAAUUACUGGGCGUAAAGCGUGCGCAGGCGAUUUUGCAAGACAGGCGUGAAAUCCCCGGGCUCAACCUGGGAAUGGCGCUUGUGACUGCAAAGCUAGAGUGCGGCAGAGGGGGAUGGAAUUCCGCGUGUAGCAGUGAAAUGCGUAGAUAUGCGGAGGAACACCGAUGGCGAAGGCAAUCCCCUGGGCCUGCACUGACGCUCAUGCACGAAAGCGUGGGGAGCAAACAGGAUUAGAUACCCCUGUAGUCCCUGUCUCUUAUAC